UAAAAAAAAAACGACGUCAAACGUGGAGAGAUACGUCUCCCUUAUCUCCUCCUACCCUCAUAAAUGUGCCACUCCGUGCGGUUGAAACUAAAGUAUGACGCGCAGUACGUCCUACCUUCCCGACCGCCCGCAUCCCUAAAAUAACGGCCUACCCGCUAGCAUUGUUAUCCGGUUGUUUUUUUCGCCUUUACAUAAUAUAACGCCGGACCUUUAUCAAAAUUAUGACAAGUUGACAGUGCGUAUUACAAGCGUCACGCGUAGGGUCAGGGUUCCGAGUGCGCCCCUUUCGGUGCGCCGCUAUCGUGUA